GGGUGAGUAACACGUGGGUAACCUACCUAUAAGACUGGGAUAACUUCGGGAAACCGGAGCUAAUACCGGAUAAUAUUUCGAACCGCAUGGUUCGAUAGUGAAAGAUGGUUUUGCUAUCACUUAUAGAUGGACCCGCGCCGUAUUAGCUAGUUGGUAAGGUAACGGCUUACCAAGGCGACGAUACGUAGCCGACCUGAGAGGGUGAUCGGCCACACUGGAACUGAGACACGGUCCAGACUCCUACGGGAGGCAGCAGUAGGGAAUCUUCCGCAAUGGGCGAAAGCCUGACGGAGCAACGCCGCGUGAGUGAUGAAGGUCUUCGGAUCGUAAAACUCUGUUAUUAGGGAAGAACAUACGUGUAAGUAACUGUGCACGUCUUGACGGUACCUAAUCAGAAAGCCACGGCUAACUACGUGCCAGCAGCCGCGUUAAUA
rnacentral:rRNA from 1 species